rnacentral:rRNA from 1 species
GUAUGGUGCAAGCGUUAUCCGGAUUUACUGGGUGUAAUGGGAGCGUAGACGGAGUGGCAAGUCUGAUGUGAAAACCCGGGGCUCAACCCCGGGACUGCAUUGGAAACUGUCAAUCUAGAGUACCGGAGAGGUAAGCGGAAUUCCUAGUGUAGCGGUGAAAUGCGUAGAUAUUAGGAGGAACACCAGUGGCGAUGGCGGCUAACUAGCCCGAGACUGACGCUCAUUCUCGAAAGCGUGGGUAGCAAAUAGGAUUAGAUACCCUAGUAGUCCACGCCGUAAACGAUGAGUACUAGGUGUUGGGGAAACUCAGCGCCGAAGUUACACAAUAAGUACUCCGCCUGGGUAGU